rnacentral:lncRNA from 1 species
ACGCGAUAUAUUCGGCUUCGGUGGUUGAAAUGUCACGCCCCGGGGUCCCUUUUAGUUUAAAACAUAGCGGAAAAGCGUCUGAAAUUUUUUUUUUUUUUUUUUUGAAAAGCCUGACCCCAGAGUAUGCCAGAUCCGCCACAAACACAGGGAAUCCACUGUUCACACGGACAGAGUCUCCCCUGUAUUUGCACGGCGUCACACAAGUACAAGAAGUAACCCAGGUACAACCACAACCAAAUGAACAUACAAAUAACCAACAACUAUAUAUUCAUACACCAUUCACAUCACAGGUUCACAUUUAUGUAUUCGAUAUUCAAACAUAAAUCCACAUCUAUCAGUUAAAAAGUUUCCAACCACAGAAACAUGUUUUGAAAUGCUAAGAUGCAAAAUCCACAGAAAACCUUUCGAAAACUGUUUCCUACACGAAAACCUUUAUUCUUUACAAACGCUACCACGAGGGGUAGAAAACCUUUUAUUUCACAAAAUUUAUUUAUUACAUUCACGAAAAUCCAUAUUUUCAAAUGUAAUAAAAAUACUGAACCAUAUAACUAUCUAAGCUAUAACAACUGAAAUACUAAGGGUAAUAACUAUACCGAAAUAACCUGGGUCGGAAGCUCUAUCGUCCGCUACACACGUACCUCACGUCUCGUCCCACUACUCAACGCCCGCGAUACCUGAAAAAUGGUGGGGGAGGUGAGAACAUGUAAACAUGUCUCCCCUCCCAGUGGGUACCGCAAGCCGAAGAAGGCGAGGAGUACUCACCGGAUCAGGAAGAACUAUACAACAACAUGGGUCAGUGGAAAUAAACAAAGUAAUGAGCAGAUAUACAAUAGCGAUAAAUUGGAAGGAAGUAAGAACUAUACUGGAUAAACGGCUACCGCUACUGUAACUAGAACAGAAAGCAUACAUGAAUAUCUACUAUAGUAGCAAGACAACUAUAAAGUAAGAACUGUAAGUAUACAUGCAACGACUGCUACUAUAGACAUAUGCGUCAACCGGUCAAGAAGUCCAAAAGUACCCAAUCUGAAACCAAUGCUCUCUUGGUCAGCACCGCAGACCUCAAGCCAAUGCCCUGGAGGUCCGCACCGCAACACCUCCCGACAGUACCACUGUCGCUCUAACAUGCAUAUAACCCCUCUAGGGCUCACGAGUUGUCACCAUUCAACCACUUUUCCGGAAAAGAACACUCCUUGCGGUGGAUCAGACCGCCAGUGUUCGUGAAAUGCAACGAGUAUCGGGCGAUCAAUGCAAUAUGGUCAAUGAUCAACCGUCGGCAACCAGCCGACAAUCCUGCCCCCCAGGGCCUAUCGACCGCAUAGGUCAUCAACUGUAAAGAAG